AAUCAACGCUGGCGGCGUGCCUCAGACAUGCAAGUCGAACGAUUAAAGCUCUCUUCGGAGAGUGUAUAGAGUGGCGCACGGGUGAGUAACACGUAAGUAAUCUACCUUCGAGUGGGGAAUAACACCGAGAAAUCGGUGCUAAUACCGCAUAAUGCAGCGGCAUCGCAAGAUGACAGUUGUUAAAGAUUUAUCGCUUGAAGAGGAGCUUGCGGCAGAUUAGCUAGUUGGUAAGGUAAUGGCUUACCAAGGCUACGAUCUGUAACCGGUCUAAGAGGACGGUCGGUCACACUGACACUGAAUAACGGGUCAGACUCCUACGGGAGGCAGCAGUCGGGAAUUUUGGGCAAUGGGCGAAAGCUGACCCAGCAACGCCGCGUGAAGGAUGAAGUAUUUCGGUA
rnacentral:rRNA from 1 species